rnacentral:lncRNA from 1 species
GUUCGUCCACCGGUGACAACCCCGUUCGCCGGCCGAGAAUCGGCCAGCUUCGGCCGCGGCGCGUCGGUCAGCUCCGGCCGCAGCUCGUCCCUUCGACUCCGACGAGAUUUCGCGUAUUGGGUCUUUUCAAUUUUUCAUAAUUUCAGUCUCGGUUCAUCUGGUAUUUCUUAUUUCGUCGUGCAAGGAUAGUUAGAAAUCAUUGAUUUGGGGUUUUGGAUCUGGGUUCUUGGGUUGUUUUUUUUUAAGUUUAUUCGGAUUUGUGGGUUAUUCAUCGUGAGGUUUUUGUCGUGGUUUUCCGAUCUGUCCGGUUGAACUCAAUAUCGAGUUUGGAGUGAAAAAUUGUUAAAGUGAAUUAGGAUUAAUUUUGAUUUGUUGUUUUUUCGAUUCGUCGUUAUUGUUACUUUCAUGGCUAAUUAUCAAUUUCGUGAUAGUAUCAUGAUAAGUCAAACGGUUAGGCAAUCGUAGGUUCGGGUAGGCGAAAUUUAGGAAUAAGUGUUUUGUUGGAUGUUGGAAUGUGCGUGUGAAUGUUUCUUUCUAGUUUAUCGUAUUUAAUUUAGAUGUAUUUAUUUAACCGGGGAAUGCCCCGAGAUCACUUGUAUUUAUUCACCGGGGAAUGCCCCGACGUAUCACGUUGGCGAAAAAUGAUCGUGAUGAAGGCCCGCGGCGUCGGGUACGGCAUUGGAG